rnacentral:rRNA from 1 species
GACGAACGCUGGCGGCGUGCUUAACACAUGCAAGUCGAACGGAAAGGCCCUGCUUUUGUGGGGUGCUCGAGUGGCGAACGGGUGAGUAACACGUGAGUAACCUGCCCUUGACUUUGGGAUAACUUCAGGAAACUGGGGCUAAUACCGGAUAGGAGCUCCUGCUACAUGGUGGGGGUUGGAAAGUUUCGGCGGUUGGGGAUGGACUCGCGGCUUAUCAGCUUGUUGGUGGGGUAGUGGCUUACCAAGGCUUUGACGGGUAGCCGGCCUGAGAGGGUGACCGGCCACAUUGGGACUGAGAGACGGCCCAGACUCCUACGGGAGGCAGCAGUGGGGAAUAUUGCACAAUGGGCGGAAGCCUGAUGCAGCAACGCCGCGUGCGGGAUGACGGCCUUCGGGUUGUAAACCGCUUUCGCCUGUGACGAAGCGUGAGUGACGGUAAUGGGUAAAGAAGCACCGGCUAACUACGUG